AAAUGGAAAAGGAUUGGAAGAUUACAUGCAGUAAGGCUACCGGCCCUAAAUAUGGAUCAAAGGAACUUAAAUAUUACCUUAAGGAUAAGCUUUAAAUGAAUUUCCCCAAGGAAAAUGUUAUUCGUAGUCAAAUUUGCGCAACCUUGCUCACGACAGAAGACAUGGAAUGGAUUAAUGAAACGGUGCAGAUCGCGUUCGUCUGGAGACGAAAUUGAAAAUGGUAAGGAAAAAGAGAAAAAUGAAAUGGUGCUGGGUUAUACCCUUCUCAUUUCCCAUUCCCUAGAACCUCCUCCUUUGUCAAAGACGCGAAGUUCCCCCUGUAGCUUCUGCAAGCCAUAGACUCAGCCUGCUGUGAUUUUCUACAUCCUCACUCUGCAAGCCAAUUCAGUCACCAUUGGUGAGAGAAUUGCAUACUCUGUUGGUGCAAAUUUUACUCCCCAUGUGAUCACUGUUAAUGCUGGUGAGAAACAAAAAGGGUGGGGGUGAAGAAACCACCUAGUACUAAUGCAGAAGUCUUUGGAAAUGGGACUCCCAAAACCAAACCAAGAAAAGAAAUCCAACACAAACGGAUCACUAGCUCAGUCAGAACAUGAUGUCUAAGACGCAUGCAGCAUGACGUACAAGGUUCAAGCCAGCCCCUAGCUUAGAUUGGACAACCACCUCGAUCAUUUUCAAUUAUCCCAUUUUUUAGUUUUUAACUUUUUAGUAUCAAAUUUCACUUCUGCAUGUAGUGCUUUAUUCUUGUAAGAGAACUUUGGGUGGCCGGCUUAAAUAUUUAGACCUCCACCUCUUGUUGAUUUUGCUCUAGAAAUUGGAUAUUACAUGCUUAAAUAUAUGCUCCAAUUAGUGUUUGAA